rnacentral:rRNA from 1 species
AGUGAACGCUGGCGGUAGGCCUAAUACAUGCAAGUCGAACGGCAGCACAGUAAGAGCUUGCUCUUACGGGUGGCGAGUGGCGGACGGGUGAGGCAUACAUCGCCAUCUACUUUUUCGUGGGGGAUUACGUAGGGAAACUUACGCUAAUACCGCAUACGUUCUACGGGUGAAAGCAAGGGAUCUUCGGACCUUUCCCGACUCAUUGAGCCGAUGUCGGAUUAGCUAGUUGGCGGGGUAACGGCCCACCAAGGCAACGAUCCGUAGCUGGUCUGAGAGGAUGAUCGGCCACACUGGAACUGAGACACGGUCCAGACUCCUACGGGAGGCAGCAGUAGGGAAUAUUCGACAAUGGGCGCAAGCCUGAUCCAGCAAUGCCGCGUGGGUGAAGAAGGCCUUCGGGUUGUAAAGCCCUUUUGUUGGGAAAGAAAAGCAGCGGGUUAAUACCCCGCUGUUCUGACGGUACCCAAAGAAUAAGCACCGGCUAACUUCGUG